CUAGCUGUAAACGAUGGAUACUAGGCGUUGAGAGUAUCGACCCUCUCAGUGUCGUAGCUAACGCGUUAAGUAUCCCGCCUGGGGAGUACGCGCGCAAGCGUGAAACUCAAAGGAAUUGACGGGGGCCCGUACAAGCGGUGGAGUAUGUGGUUUAAUUCGAUGCAACGCGAAGAACCUUACCAGGGCUUGACAUGUCCGGAACCCUGCCCAAAGGCGGGGGUGCCUACGGGAACCGGAACACAGGUGGUGC
rnacentral:rRNA from 1 species